AUCGGCCAAAAUAUGGUGUCAACAUAAGUCAUUACCAGGUUAAUGUAUUUUCCAGUUUAAAUGUUGUGCAGGUAAAUUCCAUUUCUUUUUGGAAUGUUCGUAAUUUUAGUCUUUCAUGGAUUGGUUUCUUUGCGCAUGCCCUCAUUGGAGGUUUUCCCUAAUGGCCUAACCUUUCUUUUCAUUUGCGGAUGAUAUUGUUCUGA
rnacentral:misc_RNA from 1 species